rnacentral:rRNA from 1 species
AGUGAACGCUGGCGGUAGGCCUAACACAUGCAGGUCGAACGGCAGCACAGUAAGAGCUUGCUCUUACGGGUGGCGAGUGGCGGACGGGUGAGGAAUACAUCGGAAUCUACUUUUUCGUGGGGGAUAACGUAGGGAAACUUACGCUAAUACCGCAUACGACCUACGGGUGAAAGCAGGGGAUCUUCGGACCUUGCGCGAUUGAAUGAGCCGAUGUCGGAUUAGCUAGUUGGCGGGGUAAAGGCCCACCAAGCGACGAUCCGUAGCUGGUCUGAGAGGAUGAUCAGCCACACUGGAACUGAGACACGGUCCAGACUCCUACGGGAGGCAGCAGUGGGGAAUAUUGGACAAUGGGCGCAAGCCUGAUCCAGCCAUACCGCGUGGGUGAAGAAGGCCUUCGGGUUGUAAAGCCCUUUUGUUGGGAAAGAAAAGCAGCAGGUUAAUACCCCGCUGUUCUGACGGUACCCAAAGAAUAAGCACCGGCUAACUUCGUG